AUUGAACGCUGGCGGCAGGCCUAACACAUGCAAGUCGAACGAGUGGCGGACGGGUGAGUAAUGUCUGGGAAACUGCCCGAUGGAGGGGGAUAACUACUGGAAACGGUAGCUACUACCGCAUACCAUCGGAUGUGCCCAGAUGGGAUUAGCUAGGAGGUGGGGUAACGGCUCACCUAGGCGACGAUCCCUAGCUGGUCUGAGAGGAUGACCGGCCACACUGGAACUGAGACACGGUCCAGACUCCUACGGUAGGCAGAAGUGGGGAAUAUUUCGCAAUGGGCGAAAGCCUGAUGCAGCCAUGCCGCGUGUAUGAAGAAGGCCUUCGGGUUGUAAAGUACUUUCAGCAGGGAGGCGUUACCCGCCGAAGAAGCACCGGCUAACUCCGUGCCAGCAGCCGCGGUAAUUC
rnacentral:rRNA from 1 species